rnacentral:rRNA from 1 species
AACGAACGCUGGCGGCAUGCCUAACACAUGCAAGUCGAACGAGACCUUCUGGUCUAGUGGCGCACGGGUUCGUAACGCGUUGGAACCUGCCCUUAGGUUCGGCAUAACUCCCCGAAAUGGGUGCUAAUACCGGCUAAUGUCUUCGGACCAAAGAUUUAUCGCCUUUGGCUUGGGCCGCGUUGGAUUAGCUAGUUGGUAGGGUAAAAGCCUACCAAGUCGACGAUCCAUAGCUGGUCUGAGAGGAUGAUCAGCCACACUGGGACUGAGACACGGCCCAGACUCCUACGGGAGGCAGCAGUGGGGAAUAGAGGACAAUGGGAGAAAGGCUGAACCAGCAAUGCGGCGUGAGUGAUGAAGGCCUGAGGGUUGUAAAGCUCUUUUACCCGGGAUGAUAAUGACAGUACCGGGAGAAUAAGCGCCGGCUAACUACGUG